GGUCCUGUGGUGUAGCGGUUAUCACGUCUGCUUUACACGCAGAAGGUCGUCGGUUCGAUCCCGGCCAGGACCU
rfam:Haemonchus placei strain MHpl1 genome assembly, scaffold: HPLM_scaffold0001632